GCUCAGGAUGAACGCUGGCGGCGUGCCUAACACAUGCAAGUCGAACGAAGCAAUUAAAAUGAAGUUUUCGGAUGGAUUUUUAAUUGACUGAGUGGCGGACGGGUGAGUAACGCGUGGAUAACCUGCCUCACACUGGGGGAUAACAGUUAGAAAUGACUGCUAAUACCGCAUAAGCGCACAGUACCGCAUGGUACGGUGUGAAAAACUCCGGUGGUGUGAGAUGGAUCCGCGUCUGAUUAGCCAGUUGGCGGGGUAACGGCCCACCAAAGCGACGAUCAGUAGCCGACCUGAGAGGGUGACCGGCCACAUUGGGACUGAGACACGGCCCAAACUCCUACGGGAGGCAGCAGUGGGGAAUAUUGCACAAUGGGCGAAAGCCUGAUGCAGCGACGCCGCGUGAGUGAAGAAGUAUUUCGGUAUGUAAAGCUCUAUCAGCAGGGAAGAAAAUGACGGUACCUGACUAAGAAGCCCCGGCUAACUACGUGCCAGCAGCCGCGGUAAUACGUAGGGGGCAAGCGUUAUCCGGAUUUACUGGGUGUAAAGGGAGCGUAGACGGCGAAGCAAGUCUGAAGUGAAAACCCAGGGCUCAACCCUGGGACUGCUUUGGAAACUGUUUUGCUAGAGUGUCGGAGAGGUAAGUGGAAUUCCUAGUGUAGCGGUGAAAUGCGUAGAUAUUAGGAGGAAUACCAGUGGCGAAGGCGGCUUACUGGACGAUAACUGACGUUGAGGCUCGAAAGCGUGGGGAGCAAACAGGAUUAGAUACCCUGGUAGUCCACGCCGUAAACGA
rnacentral:rRNA from 1 species